ACCGAAAUAGGUCAGUUGGGAGAGCGUUAGACUAUAGAUAGAAAGGUCCCUGGUUCGAUCCCGGGAUGCGGCA
rnacentral:tRNA from 1 species